UGGGGAAUAUUGGGCAAUGGACGCAAGUCUGACCCAGCAACGCCGCGUGAAGGAAGAAGGCUUUCGGGUUGUAAACUUCUUUUGUCAGGGAACAGUAGAAGAGGGUACCUGACGAAUAAGCCACGGCUAACUACGUGCCAGCAGCCGCGGUAAUACGUAGGUGGCAAGCGUUGUCCGGAUUUACUGGGUGUAAAGGGCGUGUAGCCGGAGAGACAAGUCAGAUGUGAAAUCCGCGGGCUCAACCCGCGAACUGCAUUUGAAACUGUUUCCCUUGAGUAUCGGAGAGGUAACCGGAAUUCCUAGUGUAGCGGUGAAAUGCGUAGAUAUUAGGAAGAACACCAGUGGCGAAGGCGGGUUACUGGACGACAACUGACGGUGAGGCGCGAAAGCGUGGGGAGCAAACAGGAUUAGAUACC
rnacentral:rRNA from 1 species